UGGGGAAUAUUGCACAAUGGGGGAAACCCUGAUGCAGCGACGCCGCGUGAGCGAAGAAGGCUUUCGAGUCGUAAAGCUCUGUCCUAUGAGAAGAUAAUGACGGUAUCAUAGGAGGAAGCCCUGGCUAAUUACGUGCCAGCAGCCGCGGUAAUACGUAAGGUCCGAGCGUUGUCCGGAAUCAUUGGGCGUAAAGGGUACGUAGGCGGAUAAGCAAGUUAGAAGUGAAAUCCUAUAGCUCAACUAUAGUAAGCUUUUAAAACUGCUCAUCUUGAGGUAUGGAAGGGAAAGUGGAAUUCCUAGUGUAGCGGUGAAAUGCGCAGAUAUUAGGAGGAAUACCGGUGGCGAAGGCGACUUUCUGGCCAUAUACUGACGCUGAGGUACGAAAGCGUGGGUAGCAAACAGG
rnacentral:rRNA from 1 species